AUUGAACGCUGGCGGCAUGCCUUACACAUGCAAGUCGAACGGUAACAGGUCUUCGGAUGCUGACGAGUGGCGAACGGGUGAGUAAUACAUCGGAACGUGCCUAGUAGUGGGGGAUAACUACUCGAAAGAGUGGCUAAUACCGCAUGAGAUCUACGGAUGAAAGCAGGGGAUCGCAAGACCUUGUGCUACUAGAGCGGCCGAUGGCAGAUUAGGUAGUUGGUGGGAUAAAAGCUUACCAAGCCGACGAUCUGUAGCUGGUCUGAGAGGACGAUGAGCCACACUGGGACGGAGACACGGCCCAGACUCCAACGGGAGGCAGCAGUGGGGAAUUUUGGACAAGGGGCGCAAGCCUGAUCCAGCAAUGCCGCGUGCAGGAUGAAGGCCUUCGGGUUGUAAACUGCUUUUGUACGGAACGAAAAGCCCUGGGUUAAUACCCUGGGGUCAUGACGGUACCGUAAGAAUAAGCACCGGCUAACUACGUGCCAGCAGCCGCCGUAACAC
rnacentral:rRNA from 1 species